AUGCCUCCUUUGGGGAGCCCGUUCGAUGAUGGCUCCAGAAAGCUGCGUGGAGCAGAGAGGCCAGAAUUAAAACAGCCGCACAGAGGGACCCCCGCAGACCCCCAAUUUCCAGAGGCUUACAGAUCAGAAGGCAAAAAAAAAACGCUGCGUCUGUUCUUUUGCAAACGUCGAUGGUUUUAUUCAUCGUCCUCACUCCCUCCCCUCAUUCCUGCCUUCUCCUCCUCUUUAUUCCCGCUCAGCGCGACUCUGCAAAGAGCUUCUCUCAUCUAUUCUGCGCGGAAGCCUGGGGAUGAGAAGGCUGACAGGUGUCUCGUUACCAGUCGCCCAGCGUGGGGAUGUUGCAAGGAAGAUGCUGACCUGUUGUUCUCCGGUUCUGCCGACAAAGGAACAGGAAGGGGGUGGCCAGUGGCCAGGAGGUGUGUGGUCACACUCCGAGCGGAGGCCCCGAACGCACGCCCGUGGGGGCGACCAGCAGACCUGGGUGGGACACCUGCUCUGCGAAGUCACUUGGGGCUCGCGGCCCAACUUCCCAGGCCACCCAGCCCUCCUGCCCUCCUUUGCCGCCUCCCUGGGUUGACCUGGGGACCAAAUGUCAUGGCGGGUGCAGUUCUCAGGUGCUCACUCCCUCCCGUCCCUCUGUCCUCUGUCCCCUGCACUCACCUUCCGUCUUUCCUCAUUUCUUUUCUUUUCUUUUUUUUUUUAAUAUUUAUUUAUUUAUUCAUGAGCGACACAGAGAGAGAGGCAGAGACACAGGCAGAGGAAGAAGCAGGCUCCCUGUGGGGAGCCCAAUGCAGGACUCGAUCCCGAAUCCUGGGAUCACGCCCUGAGCCGAAGGCAGACACUCAACCCUGUGCCACCCAGGCGUCCCAUCAUUUUCUUUCCUUCGGAGCCCAAUCCUCAGCCCUGGACUCACACCGCCUCCGCUCUCCCCUCCCUGCUGUUAGAGGGGGUGGGACACACGGCCCAGCUGAGACUGCAGGCGCCUCUUCCUUAUAUCACUGCUCCCCUUUUCCUUGCCUAGAGAGCCAGGAGGUCAGGGGCCUCUGA
rnacentral:lncRNA from 1 species